GGGCCGGUCGUCUAGUGGGAGGAUACAGACCUAGAAGCCUCAAGCCACCUUCGCAAGGAAAACAUAGAGGUACCGAGAACGGUGGUGGUCCCGGGUUCGAAUCCCGGCCGGUCCA
rnacentral:tRNA from 1 species